GUUUGCACUUGUCGGGGAAGGGUGAGAACCUUCGAUUAAGGUUCGACUCGAGCGAAAGCGAGAAAACGUUGCCAACGGCAACGGCCCGUAGGGUGAGGAGCGAAGCGACGAAUAAUCCUUCCCCCACCACCA
rnacentral:sRNA from 5 species